rnacentral:rRNA from 1 species
GAUCAUGACUCAGAUUGAACGCUGGCUGCAGGCCUAACACAUGCAAGUCGAGCGGAUGAAGAGAGCUUGCUCUCUGAUUCAGCGGCGGACGGGUGAGUAAUGCCUAGGAAUCUGCCUGAUAGUGGGGGACAACGUUUCGAAAGGAACGCUAAUACCGCAUACGUCCUACGGGAGAAAGCAGGGGACCUUCGGGCCUUGCGCUAUCAGAUGAGCCUAGGUCGGAUUAG